rfam:Myotis brandtii contig269090, whole genome shotgun sequence.
GGUGGUUCUCGGGUGAUGCACCCCAAAAUCAGGCUUCCUCCUUUCUGAUUCUCGGUGUGUCACCUGAGAACCACA